GUUUCAGCCGAGCCUAGAAGGCAGGAAUCAGGUGAGGAGGGAGAUUUGGCUUAAGAUUUGCCACGGACCUCUCUUCGGGGGUCUCUGCUGAGAACGUUUUCAAGUAUUUAACAAAAUUUAACAAAACAAAACAUUCAAAUACUGUUGUAAAAUAACGAAAACGAAAAGAAAAUCGUUUAAGGUCCCCUAGCCUAAAGUCACACUUGCAGCAAGUAAUGGAACCAUUUGAACCUUGGUCUGCUACCUUCCCCUGUACCAAACUGCCGUCCCAUAUAGACAAUAAUGGAUUCUAGACCUACUUCUUACUAAAUCAGGAAGGGCAUCGGAAACCAGGCACUGAGAUUGGAGUCCUGCUCGUAAUCAUUUAUAAAGGUUCCUUUUAAAGUUCCCAUCAUAAAGUAUGACAAUUCUAACAAGGAAGUCAUUCCUUUUUCAUCGCUCUUCAAAAAAGGAUUGAGAAGUGUCAGGGCUGGUGGUGCAGGAGCCACCAGCUCUGGGAGAACGACUUAUUCCUGGAGUCCUGAACAAACUGUACUUAAGGAGAUGUCAAAGGGAGAUGGAAGGUCUCAGACCUCACCUCCCGCUGCUGUUGACACCAAGAAGGAUUUGACUCUGCCCAGCUUGUUUAAAAUACCAGAAGUUUCCCAACAGGCAGCACAAUCAUAUCCAAAUGAAAACAUGUCUGAUCUUGACCUUCCUGUCAUUGAUCAAUAUGUCCUCUGUCCAGACUGCUUGAGAAUGAAGGCAGAGAGAUGGGGACUUAAUGGGAAGCAGGACACAAGAUAUCAAGGCCUUCCCCAUUUCAUACAGCCAACCAAAAAAAUGAUAAUUCUGGAUGCCCCAAAGCAUCUACGAUUUCCCAUCAUGGAUUUUAUGAGUGACAGGAUGAUAAGAUCAAAAUACAAGCCUACAGAAACCAGUGUCAAUCAGGACAUCGAAGCAGAAAAUGUUCAAUACAGACUGCCAAUGCGGGCCAUUUGGGGUGCCAAGAAGCCUUUACAGACACUAUAUACUGAUCUUUUAACAUCCUGCCAGAGUUCACGGCCUUCUAAAAAAGAAUGUUCUCCAGAGGAAAAGAAUAUAUGGGCAGAAUUCAAUAUCAGCAAGAGCCCCAAGCAUAGUAAAUUCCACUGAUUUUCUAUCAACUGCUGCCCUCUUCUCAUGUCUUCCUGCCCUCCUCCCAUGCCCAGUCUUGGCUAAGAAAGGAGGCUCUUUUGCAUUCCUUCCUGAUGAAGAUCUUUUACUCCUACUAUUAUGUCCACCACUUAUAUCCUAAUAAUAUAGUAGCUUAAUUUAUAGGAUUAUAAAUACAAUUGGUUAACAUAGAACAUUG
rnacentral:lncRNA from 1 species